rfam:Angiostrongylus cantonensis strain Taiwan genome assembly, scaffold: ACAC_scaffold0004406
GGCGAGAUGGCGGAGCGGUCCAAGGCGCUGUUUUUAGGCACCAGUCCCUUCGGGGGGUGGGUUCGAAUCCCACUCUGGUCA